UACGAAGGGGGCUAGCGUUGCUCGGAAUCACUGGGCGUAAAGGGUGCGUAGGCGGGUCUUUAAGUCAGGGGUGAAAUCCUGGAGCUCAACUCCAGAACUGCCUUUGAUACUGAGGAUCUUGAGUACGGGAGAGGUGAGUGGAACUGCGAGUGUAGAGGUGAAAUUCGUAGAUAUUCGCAAAGAACACCAGUGGCGAAGGCGGCUCACUGGCCCGUUACUGACGCUGAGGCACGAAAGCGUGGGGAGCAAACAGG
rnacentral:rRNA from 1 species